GGGAGAAUCCUAUCAGAUGUGUUGGGUCAAACUGAUACAUGUAUUUUAAACUUUGACAGAUUCUGCUAAACUAUCUUCAAAACCAAACCAAACCAAACAGUGUUCAUUUCCCCAUGCUCUUUCCAACACUGGGAGUUACCAACCUUCUGGAUGUUUCCCCGCCUGACUGGCUCUCACCAUUUCUUCUUUUUCUUCUUCUUUUUUUUGGUACCGAGGAUCAAACUCGGGACCUUGCACUCGUGAGGCAGGCGGCGGAACCACUGAGCCAAAUCGCCAGCCCACACCAUUUCUUCUUUUUGGCUUCAACCCAGAGUAAAAAGGCUCUGUGCUGCCUCAGUUUACCACGUGGAUCUGAGCAGAUUACAUUUCCUCCACAUGGCACUGGUGAUGCUCUGGAGCUAUCAGGACAGAAAGGGAUUUUAGGCACUGCUCAACACCAGUCACUCUGAAAGGCAUUCAAGGCGGUCCACACUGUUAAAGAUGGGUCUUCUGUAGUCUGGCACUUGACGUUUGUCACCCUAACACAACCUGUUUCUGUGGCCAAGUCACCAUGAAGCCAACUACGCCCUACUUCUGCUUCCAUGGCUUGCCCAUGCUGGUCCUUGCAUCGGGCGCCUAAGUCACCCUGCUGUUUGGUCUCCUGGCUCUCCUAGGAAACGGAGGGACAAAGGGAU
rnacentral:lncRNA from 1 species